UUGUUGUUGAAUAUCGAGGGAACAUCUUUUCACGAGGACCGAGCUCUACGAGGCGUGGAGCUGUUUUAAAAGGUUUUAUUUACAAGUUUUCGUGGAAAGGAGAACGAUGGUGCGUUGAUGCUUCAAACGAGGACAACUCCCUCGGCAGAUUGGUGAACGAUGACCACCUCCGUCCAAACUGUGAGAUGAGGAAGGUUGUUUAUGAGGGGAGGCCUCACUUGUGCCUGUUUGCAUCGAAGAAAAUCUCCCCCGGCGAGGAGAUAACGUUCAACUACGGAGAUUCCAGUUACCCGUGGCGCUCUGAUCAGUCACGGGAGUUUCACUUUGGAUCAACCUCUUCAAAGGCGAGCUCUAAACCGCUGACAUCAACGCCGAGGAAAAGAAAAAAGAUGAAAACUGCUGCAGAUUCUUACUGUGACCAGUCGUGCUCUGACGGUG